AACGUAGGAGACAAACGUUAUCCGGAGUUACUGGGCGUAAAGGGCGUGCAGGUGGUCUGUUAAGUCUGUCGUGAAAGCCCCGGGCUCAACCUGGGAAUGGCGAUGGAUACUGGCUCGCUAGAGUGCGGUAGAGGAGAGUGGAAUUCCCGGUGUAGCAGUGAAAUGCGUAGAGAUCGGGAGGAACAUCAGUUGCGAAGGCGGCUCUCUGGACCAGCACUGACACUGAGGCACGAAAGCGUGGGGAGCAAACAGG
rnacentral:rRNA from 1 species